rnacentral:rRNA from 1 species
UACAGAGGGUGCGAGCGUUAAUCGGAAUUACUGGGCGUAAAGCGUGCGUAGACGGUUAUUUAAGUCGGGUGUGAAAGCCCCGGGCUCAACCUGGGAAUUGCAUUCGAGACUGAAUAGCUAGGGUACGGUAGAGGGAAGCGGAAUUUCCGGUGUAGCGGUGAAAUGCGUAGAUAUCGGAAGGAACAUCAGUGGCGAAGGCGGCGCUCUGGGCCGGUACUGACGCUGAGGAGCGAAAGCGUGGGGAUCAAACAGG